GACGAACGCUGGCGGCGUGCCUAAUACAUGCAAGUAGAACGCUGAAGCGAGGAGCUUGCUCUUCUUGGAUGAGUUGCGAACGGGUGAGUAACGCGGAGGUAACCUGCCUGGGAGCGGGGGAUAACUAUUGGAAACGAGAGAGAAGACCGCAUAAAAGGGAGUAUCGCAUGAUAAUCCAUGGAAAGGGGCAAAGGCAUAAAUACCAGAGGGAGAGGCGGGGUAUUAGCGAGUUGGUGGGUGAACGGCUCACCAAGGCGACGAUACAUAGCCGACCUGAGAGGGUGAUCGGCCCACCUGGGCCGUAGACACGGCCCCGCCUCCUACGGGCGGCAGCAGUAGGGACUCUUCGGCAAUGGACGGAAGUCUGACCGAGCAACGCCGCGUGAGUGAAGAAGGUUUUCGGAUCGUAAAGCUCUGUUGUAAGAGAAGACCGAGUGUUAGAGUGGAAAGUUCACACUGUGACGGUAUCUUACCAGAAAGGGACGGCUAACUACGUG
rnacentral:rRNA from 1 species